ACUCUGGUGGAGCUCGUAGCGGUUCUGACGUGCAAAUCGAUCGUCAAAUUUGGGUAUAGGGGCGAAAGACUAAUCGAACCAUCUAGUAGCUGGUUCCCUCCGAAGUUUCCCUCAGGAUAGCUGGAGCCCGAACUAUGUGUGUAGUUUUAUCAGGUAAAGCGAAUGAUUAGAGGUAUUGGGGUUGAAAUGACCUCAACCUAUUCUCAAACUUUAAAUGGGUAAGAGGCGUAGCUUACUUAAGUGAAGUUACGCGCGUGCGUACACACUUCGUGUGUGUGCGUACAAUGUGGAAUACAGGGGCUCUUAGUGGGCCAUUUUUGGUAAGCAGAACUGGCGAUGCGGGAUGAACCGAACGCUGGGUUAAGGUGCCCAAGUCAACGCUCAUGAGAUCCCAGGAAAGGUGUUGGUUGAUACAGACAGCAGGACGGUGGCCAUGGAAGUCGGAAUCCGCUAAGGAGUGUGUAACAACUCACCUGCCGAAUCAACUAGCCCUGAAAAUGGAUGGCGCUCAAGCGUUGCACCUAUCCCCGGCCGCCGUGUGGAGAUGGCCAGUGCUGGUGACACGGCGUGUAGGAGGGCGCAGGGCUGUGUGUUGGUAUGCUGUGCAGGCUGGUGCGUGAGCUCAGCUGAAGCUGGCCCUGGUGCAGAUCUUGGUGGUAGUAGCAAU
rnacentral:rRNA from 1 species